rnacentral:snoRNA from 1 species
AAGCCAAUCAAUCUGCUUCUCUGAAUCUUUCUGCAGAAAUUUAGAAACAGCUGGCAAUAGUGAUGCCAUUUUAUGAGCCUUAACGACAACUGAAGUCAUUACAAUCCCUCAAAAUGACUAUAAUA